ensembl:lncRNA
UGUCGAUCUAAAUUUUGCCACAGUGCCAAAUGUAAGUGUGUCUCUGAGUACAUCUGUGUGUGUGUGUCAUGAGUAGAUCUAGGUUUGCUCCGGAGGGGUUGACGCGGCGUCCUGAUGGAAUCCUGAUGGCGUCCCGAUGACGUGGCGUCCUGAUGGCGUCCCGAUGACGUGGCGUCCUGAUGGCGUCCCGAAGACGUGGCGUCCUGAUGGCGUCCUGUUGGUCUGCAGACAAGGAGAAGAGACGUGAGGAGGAUCAUCAGGGUGUGCCUGUGUGUACAUCUAAUUGUUAGUGGGUCUGUGUGUAGAUCUAAUUGUUAGUGUGUCCAUCUAAUUGUUAGUGUGUCUGUGUGUAGAUCUAAUUGUUAGUGUGUCUGUGUACAUCUAAUUGUUAGUGUGUCUGUGUGUACCUCUAAUUGUUAGUGUGUCUGUGUGUACAUCUAAUUUAUAGUGUGUCUGUGUGUACAUCUAAUUGUAAGUGUGUCUGUGUACAUCUAAUUGUUAGUUUGUCUGUGUGUACAUCUAAAUAUUAGUGUGUGUCUUUGUUUAGAACCAAAUGAUAGUGUGUCUGUGUGUAGAUCUAGAUAUUAAUGUGUCUGUGUGUAGAUCUAAUUGUUAAGUGUGUCCGUGUGUACCUCUAAUUGUUAGUGUGUCUGUGUGUACAUCUAAAUGUUAGUGUGUCUGUGUGUACAUCUAAAUAUUAGUGUGUGUAUUUGUUUAGAACCAAAUGAUAGUGUGUCUGUGUGUAGAUCUAAUUGUUAAUGUGUCUGUGUGUAGAUCUAAUUGUUAGUGUGUCCGUGUGUACAUCUAAUUGUUAGUGUGUCUGUGUGGAUCUAAUUGUUAGUGUGUCUGUGUGUAGAUCUAAAUAUGAAUGUGUCUUUGUGUACAUCUAAAUGUUAGUGUGUGUCUUUGUUUAGAACCAAAUGUUAGUGUGUGUGUGAGUCGCGACAUCCCUCGCAGUGUGUGGGUGUGUGUGUGUGUCAUGAGUAGAUCUGGAUUUGCUGCUGAGGGGUUGACGCGGCGUCCUGAUGGCGUCCCGAUGACGUCCCGAUGACGUGGUGUCCUGAUGGCGUCCCGAUGACGUGGCGUCAUGAUGGCAUCCUGUCUGCAGACAAGGAGAAGAGACGUGAGGAGGAUCAUCAGGAUGUGUCUGUGUGUACAUCUAAUUGUUAGUGGGUCUGUGUGUACAUCUAAUAGUUAGUGUGUCUUAGUGUACAUCUAAAUGUUAGUGUGUCUUUGUGUACAUCUAAUUGUUAGUGGGUCCGUGUGUACAUCUAAUUGUCAGUGUGUCUGUGUGUACAUCUAAAUAUUAAUGUGUCUUUGUGUACAUCCAACUGUUAGUGUGUGUCUUUGUUUAGAACCAAAUGUUAGUGGGUCUGUGAGUACAUCUGUGUGUGUGUGUGUGUGGGUGUGUGUGUGUGUCAUGAGUAGAUCUGGAUUUGCUCCUGAGGGGCUGACGCGGCGUCCUGAAGGCGUCCCGAUGACGUGGCGUCCUGUUGGUCUGCAGACAAGGAGAAGAGACGUGAGGAGGGUCACCAGGAUGUGUCUGUGUGUACAUCUAAAUGUUAGUGGGUCUGUGUGUAGAUCUAAUUGUUAGUGUGUCUGUGUGUAGAUCUAAUUGUUAGUGUGUCUGUGUGUACAUCUAAAUAUUAAUGUGUCUUUGUGUACAUCUAAAUGUUAGUGUGUGUCAUUGUUUAGAACCAAAUGUUAGUGUGUCUGUGUGUACAUCUGUGUGUGUGUGUGUAUGUGUGUCAUGCGUAGAUCUGGAUUUGCUCCUGAGGGGUUGACGUGACGUCCUGAUGGCGUCCCGUUGACGUGGCGUCCUGAUGGCACCCUGAUGGCGUCCCGUUGACGUGGCGUCCUGAUGGCGUCCCGUUGGUCUACAGACAAGGAGAAGAGACGUGAGGAGGAUCAUCAGGAUGUGAGACAAGAUUCAUAGAUCCAAUUAUUUUAAUUUGAUGCACAUUUUAAUUAUUUCAUGUUUGUAUGGAUGUGUAAAUCUACAUUAUAUAUUUGUGGUUGUUAAACUGUAUUUCUGUAUUUGCUUUUUAUGUUUAGCUAGUCACUGUGCAUACCAAUAUGUUAGUGCGUCUCUGUGUAAGUACUUUUUACAUUACAUUACAUUUCAUUUAGCUGACGCUUUUAUCCAAAGCGACUUACAAUAAGUGCAUUCAACCAUAGGGUACAAACUCAGAAGUGCAAUUUCCUCAAAUAACUUUUAUAUGUUAGUGCGUCUCUGUGUAAGUACUUUUAUAUGUUAAUGCGUCUCUGUGUACAUCUACAUGACAACAGCAGGAAUCAGAGGUUUAUCUCAAGGUAUUAGCUUUAAAUCACAGCCUUCCCCACCCGAUAGACCAAUACAUCAUUCACAGCAGUAAGGCUGCAGUCUGUCUGGAUUCCUCACUUACCUUGAGCUCUGUUAAGUGCAGCAGAACGCGUCUUCAUUCCCUCUACAGACUCCUGAGGCAUUACAUGGUUGCGUUCUGCAAGUGUAGGUCCGGAAAACUUCAGUGUGUAGAUGCGAGGUUUGAAACUGACUGACUGGAUGUGCAACAGACUGUGUUCUUAUGCUGUGGUGAACGGAGCAUAGAACAUAGAACAUGGAACAUGGAACAUGGAGAAAUGUUCCAUCAUGAUGUAACGUCUCUAUGGUUACAGUGAAGGUAUCUACAAUAUGCAAAUGAGCCUUUAGAGUAAAUGUGUGUGUGUAUUUGUAUUGAUGGAGCUCAUCCACUUGACAUGGUGCAUAAAACACUUUGCUCUACUUGUUUUUUUCUAUGACCCCAUCUUGAUCUUGAAAGCAAACACUUAAAGAAUAAAUAAAGAACGAUUUUUGUCCAUUGUUUCAUCAAGUCGGAAAUUUGUAAACUGUUGAAUCCGGAUUUUUAAACAUCCCUUUCGAGCCCUCUUGUCUCCAGUCUUCAUGCUAAGCUAACCAGCGGCUGGCUUUAGCUUCACGUUGAGCGCGCAGACAUGAGAGUAGGGAUGAGUAUCGUUUGGGUUUUCCGAUACCGAUCCUAAACAGCCUGAACCCAAACACAACUGAAGAAAAGUUUUUUUUCACUUCAAACUAUGCACAAUAUAUGAACUUUUGAAAGUUUACAGUAUGAUUACAGUGUUUCCCCUCUGUAACAGCGGAAGUGUAGUUAAUUGGAAUUUGGGGAAUAUUAAUCAUUUAAUCUGAGAUUCAUGUUCAUUGUGCAGAACUAAAGACAUUUAUUGAAAAGCAUUUACGUUAGAUUGACGCCCCUUGUUUGUCUCAAAGUAUUGACGUGCAACACAGAAGAGCUGCAUGAGGCACGAGAGCACAUCGCUUUUCUAUUGUGUAGAGAAAUAAAUACGAAUAGAAGGCAGAUGGCUAGCUAGCUGCUGUAGCUACACAAGCGGUGAG